rnacentral:sRNA from 1 species
CUCAUUUAUGAGUCUUGCAGUUUUGGCGUUGGAGAAGAACUUUGCUAAAAAAGCCUUCUUGCAAUCAACCCAGGUGAUGAUUGAGUCAUGGGGCAUAUUCUUUUCCCAUAUGUGUGCUUUGUCGCCCAAGAAGAAUGGAAACAACCGGAGCUUGAAUCCGUCUUCACUGACACCAUUGACUUUUGUUAGGUUGCAGAGCCUAUCAAAUUCAUCCAAGUGGUCGAGUAGAUCCUCCAUUGGUAGACCAUGAAAUUUGUUCCCCUGAAUCAUCGAGAUGAGACCACUCUUAAUCUUGAAGUUGUUGUUCUGGAUAGUAGGAGGUGCAAUUCCUUUCCUCUGGCGGUGGUCCCGUGGUGCAUCUCCAGCACCAAUGUUUGG